rfam:Marinobacter excellens HL-55 ITZ_scaf_87, whole genome shotgun sequence.
GCCCGGAUAGCUCAGUUGGUAGAGCAGAGGAUUGAAAAUCCUCGUGUCGGUGGUUCGAUUCCGCCUCCGGGCA